UACGUAGGGUGCGAGCGUUGUCCGGAAUUAUUGGGCGUAAAGAGCUCGUAGGCGGUGUGUCACGUCGUUCGUGAAAACCUGCAGCUUAACUGUGGGCGUGCGGUCGAUACGGGCAUCACUGGAGUUCGGCAGGGGAGACUGGAAUUUCUGGUGUAGCGGUGAAAUGCGCAGAUAUCAGGAGGAACACCGGUGGCGAAGGCGGGUCUCUGGGCCGAUACUGACGCUGAGGAGCGAAAGCGUGGGGAGCGAACAGG
rnacentral:rRNA from 1 species